ACGAACGCUGGCGGCAUGCCUAACACAUGCAAGUCGAACGAGACCUUCGGGUCUGGUGGCGCACGGGUGCGUAACGCGUGGGAACCUGCCUUGAGGUUCGGAAUAACUCCCCGAAAGGGGUGCUAAUACCGGAUAAUGUCUUCGGACCAAAGAUUUAUCGCCUUUAGAUGGGCCCGCGUUGGAUUAGCUAGUUGGUGGGGUAAAGGCCUACCAAGGCGACGAUCCAUAGCUGGUCUGAGAGGAUGAUCAGCCACACUGGGACUGAGACACGGCCCAGACUCCUACGGGAGGCAGCAGUGGGGAAUAUUGGACAAUGGGCGAAAGCCUGAUCCAGCAAUGCCGCGUGAGUGAUGAAGGCCUUAGGGUUGUAAAGCUCUUUUACCAGGGAUGAUAAUGACAGUGACUGGAGAAUGAGCUCCGGCUAACUCCGU
rnacentral:rRNA from 1 species